UCGGACAGAGGACAGAUAACAGGAAGGCUUGAUGAGACGAAACUGAAACAAUGGCUGUCUGCGAUACCGGAGAACGCCGAGGCAAAGAGAGAAAUAUGUUCAAUGUUUUCUACAAGUUCCAGUCUUGUUGCAAGUUUCACAAAGACAAAUAGGUCUCCAAAAACAGCAGGUGCCCUGACUGUGGACCUUGAGGCAGCCAGCAGAGUCUUCGACCAGCUGCUGGCAGUACCAUGGAUCAAACAAACAGUAACACUAAACAACCUGGUUGAAUUACUUUGGGCUUCAAAAAAUGAUAUCCAAUCUUUGGAGAUCUUGAUGGUUCUGCUGACAUGCCCUCUCCUCCAAGAGGGCCUUGCUGUCUUUUACAUCGUGCUGCCUUUGUCCCAACUUAUCGCAGAUCUGAG